rnacentral:lncRNA from 1 species
UUACACAGAGGAAAGGUGUUAGCACCAAAGUGUCCUAGGUACUCCUAGGGAGCCCUUUUUUGUGUGCAAGUGUUUUAGUUGAAACUAUGUUUGCUAAAAAUUGAAUGUGGGGAUGAGAAAAAGAAUUCAUUAAUUAUAUUUUUGUGUUUGACAAGACCUUCUGUGUUAUGCCUAUGUACCAACAUAAAAAUGAGGGAUCAAAACCCCGUAGUUCGUGG